rnacentral:rRNA from 1 species
UACGUAGGGUGCGAGCGUUGUCCGGAAUUAUUGGGCGUAAAGGGCUCGUAGGCGGUUUGUCGCGUCGGGAGUGAAAACCUUGGGCUUAACUCAGGGCUUGCUUUCGAUACGGGCAGACUAGAGGUAUGCAGGGGAGAACGGAAUUCCUGGUGUAGCGGUGAAAUGCGCAGAUAUCAGGAGGAACACCGGUGGCGAAGGCGGGUCUCUGGACAGUUCCUGACACUGAGGCACGAAGGCCAGGGGAGCAAACGGG